AGAGUUUGAUCCUGGCUCAGGAUGAACGCUAGCGGGAGGCUUAACACAUGCAAGUCGAACGGUAAGGCCCUGCUUGCAGGGUACACGAGUGGCGCACGGGUGAGUAACGCGUAUGCAACCUACCUUUAACUGGAGCAUAGCCCGAGGAAACUCGGAUUAAUACUCCAUAAUAUUUAGAGAUCACCUGUUUUCUAAAUUAAAGCUCCGGCGGUUAAAGAUGGGCAUGCGUGACAUUAGUUUGUUGGUGAGGUAACGGCUCACCAAGACUACGAUGUCUAGGGGGUCUGAGAGGAUGAUCCCCCACACUGGUACUGAGACACGGACCAGACUCCUACGGGAGGCAGCAGUGAGGAAUAUUGGUCAAUGGGCGAAAGCCCGAACCAGCCAUCCCGCGUGCAGGAUGACGGCCCUAUGGGUUGUAAACUGCUUUUAUACAGGAAGAACCCUCUCUACGUGUAGAGAGCUGACUGUACUGUAAGAAUAAGCAUCGGCUAACUCCGUGCCAGCAGCCGCGGUAAUACGGAGGAUGCAAGCGUUAUCCGGAUUUAUUGGGUUUAAAGGGUGCGUAGGCGGAAGUCUAAGUCAGUGGUGAAAUCCUGCAGCUUAACUGUAGAACUGCCAUUGAUACUGGAUUUCUUGAAUAUAGUUGAGGUAGGCGGAAUGUGUAGUGUAGCGGUGAAAUGCUUAGAUAUUACACAGAACACCGAUUGCGAAGGCAGCUUACUAAACUAAUAUUGACGCUGAGGCACGAAAGCGUGGGGAGCGAACAGGAUUAGAUACCCUGGUAGUCCACGCCGUAAACGAUGAUUACUCGUUGUGUGCGAUAUAUUGUACGCGACUGAGCGAAAGCAUUAAGUAAUCCACCUGGGGAGUACGUUGGCAACAAUGAAACUCAAAGGAAUUGACGGGGGCCCGCACAAGCGGAGGAACAUGUGGUUUAAUUCGAUGAUACGCGAGGAACCUUACCUGGGCUUAAAUGCAGGACGAUUUUUCGGGAAUCCGAUUUUUCUUCGGACGGACUGCAAGGUGCUGCAUGGUUGUCGUCAGCUCGUGCCGUGAGGUGUCGGGUUAAGUCCCAUAACGAGCGCAACCCCUAUCGUUAGUUGCCAGCGAGUAAUGUCGGGGACUCUAACGAAACUGCCGGUGUAAACGUGAGGAAGGUGGGGAUGACGUCAAAUCAGCACGGCCCUUAUGUCCAGGGCUACACACGUGUUACAAUGGUCGGUACAAAGGGCAGCUACCUGGUGACAGGAUGCUAAUCUCUAAAACCGAUCCCAGUUCGGAUCGAAGUCUGCAACUCGACUUCGUGAAGUUGGAUUCGCUAGUAAUCGCGUAUCAGCAAUGACGCGGUGAAUACGUUCCCGGGCCUUGUACACGCCGCCCGUCAAGCCAUGGAAGCC
rnacentral:rRNA from 1 species